rnacentral:lncRNA from 1 species
CCGCAGUUCUCUCCGGUGAGGAGGGCACACCCCCAGCGUCGUCGGUUGAAUGGGCUGUCUCGUGGGCUGCUAGGGGGUGAGCUGGGAAGCACCGAGCUGUGGCCAUGAAUUCACCCGUGGACCCCAGCGCCUGGCAAGUGCUGAGGAAGAAGCCACCUGAGCGGACCCCUGAGGCUGAACACUCUUAAAGAACCAAGCUACAUAUGUGGUGCAACUGGUCUCCAGAGCCGCCCGCUCCCACAGCAUAUCCAGUGGUUCCAGUGCCGAGCUGGAACCAGAGGAUGACGUGGAAACCAGAUCAAAAGGGAACCUGAGCUACAAAGACCUCUGUGGCACCAAAGGGAAUAAAAAAGAAGAAAGAACUCCUUGCAUGGUCUUCCUACGAUUAAAGAUUGGAAAUACACAAAACUGAGCACAAACAGGACUGGGCCAGCCAAACAGUCACAUACCUGAAACCCAGGAGAGAGAGAGGCAACAUUUGGAGAGUGGAGGAGGAGCUGCAGUAGAGAAGAAAGUGCC